UGAUCAUGGCUCAGGAUGAACGCUGGCGGCGUGCUAAUACAUGCAAGUCGAACGGUGCAUCGCAAGGUGCAUAGUGGCGAACGGGUGAGUAACGCGUUGGUGACCUACCCCGAAGAUUGGGAUACCGGACCGAAAGGUCUGCUAAUACCGAAUGAAGCUCCGGCCGAUUAGAGAGUUGGAGAAAAAGGAGCAAUCCGCUUUGGGAGGGACCUGCGUCCCAUCAGCUAGUUGGUAGGGUAGUGGCCUACCAAGGCGAUGACGGGUAGGGGGCCUGAGAGGGUGGCCCCCCACAAUGGAACUGAAAUACGGUCCAUACACCUACGGGUGGCAGCAGUAGGGGAUAUUGCACAAUGGGCGAAAGCCUGAUGCAGCAACGCCGCGUGGGCGAUGAAGGCCUUCGGGUCGUAAAGCCCUUUUCGAGGGGAUGAGGAAGGACAGUACCCUCGGAAUAAGCCUCGGCUAACUACGUGCCAGCAGCCGCGGUAAAACGUAGGAGGCGAGCGUUAUCCGGAUUUACUGGGCGUAAAGCGCGUGCAGGCGGUACGGAAAGUUGGAUGUGAAAGCUCCCGGCUCAACUGGGAGAGGUCGUUCAAAACUACCGAACUAGAGUACAGUAGAGGGAAGUGGAAUUCCGGGUGUAGUGGUGAAAUGCGUAGAUAUCCGGAGGAACACCAGUGGCGAAAGCGGCUUCCUGGACUGAAACUGACGCUCAGACGCGAAAGCUAGGGUAGCAAACGGGAUUAGAGACCCCGGUAGUCCUAGCUGUAAACGAUGUAGACUUGGCGUAGGAGGGUUCAAAUCCUUCUGUGCCGAAGCAAACGCGAUAAGUCUACCGCCUGGGGACUACGGCCGCAAGGUUAAAACUCAAAUGAAUUGACGG
rnacentral:rRNA from 1 species